rnacentral:lncRNA from 1 species
CUACAAAAGGCAGUUGUGGCUCUGGAUGAUGUGACUCUUUGUUUGUCAAAGGCUGGUCUUGCUAACUUUUCUUUUCUGUUUUUUAUUUCUCGUCCAUGUGGAAUUGAUUCUAGCUUGUUUUGGUUUUUUCACUUGCUUUGGCAUGUAACUUGUGCAGAAUGGCUAUAGGGAUUUAUUAAAGUUGGCUGAGAACUUUGCUGCCUUCAAUCAACGGUUGAAAU